rnacentral:tRNA from 1 species
AUUUAUGUAGUUUACAGAUAAAACAUUACACUUUCAUUGUAAAAACAAAUUAUAUUUCAUAAAUA